GACGAACGCUGGCGGCGUGCCUAAUACAUGCUAGUCGAGCGGACAGAAGGGAGCUUGCUCCCGGAAGUUAGCGGUGGACGGGUGAGUAACACGUGGGCAACCUACCCUGUAGAUCGGGAUAACAUCGAGAAAUCGGUGCUAAUACCGGAUAAUCAUUUGAAGUGCAUGCUUCGAAUGUAAAAGAUGGCUCCGGCUAUCACUACGGGAUGGGCCCGCGGCGCAUUAGCUAGUUGGUAAGGUAAUGGCUUACCAAGGCAACGAUGCGUAGCCGACCUGAGAGGGUGAUCGGCCACACUGGGACUGAGACACGGCCCAGACUCCUACGGGAGGCAGCAGUAGGGAAUCUUCCGCAAUGGACGAAAGUCUGACGGAGCAACGCCGCGUGAGUGAUGAAGGUUUUCGGAUCGUAAAGCUCUGUUGUUAGGGAAGAACAAGUGCCGUUUGAAUAAGGCGGCACCUUGACGGUACCUAACCAGAAAGCCACGGCUAACUACGUGCCAGCAGCCGCAGUAAUAC
rnacentral:rRNA from 1 species